UGAUGUUACCUAAUAUCGGUUGUGUCACUGU
rnacentral:piRNA from 1 species